rnacentral:rRNA from 1 species
AUUGAACGCUGGCGGCAUGCCUUACACAUGCAAGUCGAACGGCAGCACGGGAGCAAUCCUGGUGGCGAGUGGCGAACGGGUGAGUAAUAUAUCGGAACGUGCCCAGUCGUGGGGGAUAACGCAGCGAAAGCUGUGCUAAUACCGCAUACGAACUCUGGAUGAAAGCGGGGGACCGUAAGGCCUCGCGCUAUUGGAGCGGCCGAUAUCAGAUUAGCUAGUUGGUGGGGUAAAGGCCCACCAAGGCGACGAUCUGUAGCUGGUCUGAGAGGACGACCAGCCACACUGGAACUGAGACACGGUCCAGACUCCUACGGGAGGCAGCAGUGGGGAAUUUUGGACAAUGGGCGCAAGCCUGAUCCAGCAAUGCCGCGUGCAGGAUGAAGGCCUUCGGGUUGUAAACUGCUUUUGUACGGAACGAAACGGCGAGCUCUAAUAAAGUUUGCUAAUGACGGUACCGUAAGAAUAAGCACCGGCUAACUACGUGCCAGCAGCCGCGGUAA